UGGCCCAUUGAGAAAUAAUAGCGCCGGCCCUCGCACGACCAGAUCCACAACACGCCACCCCCAAAUCCCCUGCCUCCAGCAGAUCCCCCGCCGCCGCCGCCCCGAAACCUAGCUAGUUCGCGCACCGCGCGGCCGCCUCCGCGCGCUCGACCACCGCGCGCCAGCGUAGCUCCCCCGCCCCCACCGCCGGCGUAGCCCCUCAGCACCGCAGCUCUCCUCUACCGCCGCGCACCAUCCGCCCUCCACUGGACCGCAAGCCGCCGCCGCCCCCAACUAUCCACCGCCGGCGGAGGCCCUCCAACCAGCAAACCACUGCCGCCGUCGCCCCCCAUCACGCGCGGCAGACACUCCGCCCCUCCGCCGCCCGAACAGCCACUGCAUCCUGCUGCCGUCGUCACCCCACUCCAGAGCGGCACCUCCGAGCACCCCGUCGGCCACCAUCGUCAUCGCCAAGCCACACCACCGGCGGACACCAUCCUCCGUGGAAGGGCUUCUUCGCAGCAACUACGUACUACGCUCGUGCACUUCCUCCCCGAGCAGGCUUCACCGAGCAUCAAGUGACCGGUCCGCCUCCUCCACAAGCCCCCGAAGCAGCAGACCACGUGUUGGCCCUCCUCUCCAGCGAGCAGCUUUGCCUGCUGAACAUCCUUUCCCUGGACAUCGCUGCCUCCUGUACUUCAUUGGACAGGCAAUUUUAGUGAAACUGGUCAAGAAUGGACAAGAGUUGGAUGGAUAAAGCUAGAAAUACACAAGCAUAUAUAGACGGGGUAGAGAAAUUCAUAGAUUUUGCUUUUACUCAUUCAGCAAGAGGGAACACUAUACUAUGUCCUUGUAGAAUUUGCUUGAACUGUUGUUGGUUUGAAGCUAGUGUUGUCUAUGAGCACUUGUUAUGCGAUGGGUUUAUUAGUGGGUACAAAAGAUGGAAUGAUCAUGGGGAGGCAUCAUCACCUCUUGUAUCCGAGAGUGACCAUGAUGAGGUUCAACCUGAUAAUUUUCAAGAGGAGAUUGACCUAGAUGACUAUGAUGAGAUGCUUGAAAUGAUUCAAGAUAUAGCACAUCAAAAUGGGGAUUUUAAUGAUAGUAGUGGGGAGGAUCCAAGUCACCAGGAUGCUGUGCCUGAGGGCGUCGACCCUCUUCUAGUGAAGAAAAAGAAGGAUGAAGAUGCUUUCCGACAAUUCAUAGCUGAUGAUAGGGAGGAGCUUUAUCCAGGGUGCACAACCUUCUCAAAGCUACGUUUCGUUGUUAGGUUACUCCAUACAAAACCUCUUGGAGGUUGGAGUGAUAAAAGUUUCGACAUACUGCUAGAGUUGCUAAAAGAGGCCUUUCCAACAGCAAAGCUACCCAAAUUUUUUUAUGAAGCUAAGAAGAUGAUAAAAUGCCUUGAGCUUGGUUAUAUAAAAAUUCAUGCAUGUGAGAAUGAUUGCAUUUUGUUCUGGAAGGAACAUGCAAAUAAGGAUAUUUGUCCUACAUGCAAAACUUCUCGGUGGAAAUCUGAAAAGAAUAGUCUUGAUGGGAAACAUGUACACAAGGUCCCAAGGAAGGUUCUUCGUUAUUUUCCAAUAAAGAAGAGGCUACAACGCCUUUUUGUGUCUCCAAAGAGUGCAGCAGACUGCAGAUGGCAUGUUGAAGAACGUACAAGAGAUGGACUAAUAAGGCAUCCAGCGGAUGCACCUGUUUGGAAGAAGGACUUUGAUGGCAAAUAUCCAGAUUUUGCUAAAGAUAGUCGCAACAUGAGGCUGCUUGUAGUAUCUGAUGGUUUUAUCCAUUUAGGACAAUGAAGUUAUCCUAUAGUAUCUGGCCUGUUGUAGUAAUUCCGUUGAAUCUUCCUCCUUGGUUGUGCAUGAAGCAGCAUAAUUUCACCCUCUCUUUGCUAAUUCCUGGUCCAAGGUCACCUGGGGGAGAUAUAGAUGUCUUUCUUGAACCACUUAUUGAUGAUUUGAACUCGCUUUUUGAGGAGGGUGUUAGAACCUAUGAUGCCUCCACCGGUAAACCCUUCAACCUGCAUGCUGCUGUAUUGUCAACUACAUCAGACCUCCCAGGCUUAUGCACUCUAUCCGGGAUCGUAACCUGUGGUGAAUUUGGCUGUCCAUUGUGUGGCUCACAUACUUGCUCUCUUCGGUUGAAGGAAGGCAAGAAAUUUUGCUAUAUGGGUCAUCGAAGGUUUCUUGAUCCUAACCAUGAAUACAGAUUUGACGAAGAAUCCUUUGAUGGUGUGGAAUUAGGGACAGCACCUAUACCACUUACUGGAGAGGAAGUUUUGGCCCUCACUGAAAAUAUGAAGACUGUUUUUGGAAAGGACCCUUCCGGGAAAACAACCACCAAGAAGAGCAAGGUUGGCGAACCACCAAUGGUUCGUAAAAGAAAAUCCAUAUGGUUUAGGUUGAGAUACUGGAAAGACUUGCUGCAGCCUCAUAAUGUUGAUGCAAUGGACAUUGAAAAGAAUGUAUGUGAAAAUAUAAUUAACACACUUCUAUGCAUGGAUCGAAAAUCAAAAGAUAAUUAUAGCUCUCGUAGAGAUCUAGAGCAUCUCGGAAUAAGAAAAGCUCUCCAACCUGUCCCAGUAGGUGAACAAUUUGAUUUGCCUGCUGCACCCUAUGCAAUGGACAAUGAAAAGAAGAAACUGUUUUGCGAAAUUUGCAAGGAAGCUAGGUUCCCUUAUGGUUGUGCAUCUGAUAUACGCCGGAAUGUCCUUGUGAAGCAGAAAAAGAUCGUUGGGCUGAAGAGCCAUGACAAUCACAUUCUUUUGCAGCAAUUGCUUCCGCUAGCUGUUUGGAACACAUUGCCAAAGGAAGUCGGUGUUGCCUUGGUUCGUGUCAGCAGAUUCUUCAAGCAAAUAUAUUCUCCUGUCAUUAGCAUAAGUGACAUGGAGAAGCUAGAGGGAGAAAUAGCUGAGACCUUGAGCAUUCUUGAGGCCAUAUUUCUGCCAUCAUUUUUUGAUCUUAUGGUUCACUUGAUGGUUCAUCUUCCAACCCAAGUGAGGCUAGGGGGCCCAGUAAAGUACAGCAGCAUGUACCCAGUAGAAAGGUAUAAUAUGAAGCUAAAGGGGUUUGUUCGUACCAAGAGCCACCCUGAGGGGUCAAUUGCAGAGGGCUAUGUGUUUGAUGAGAGCCUUACAUUCUGCUCCCGUUAUUUACAUGGAUGUGAGACUAGAUUUAACAGAAAAUGCAGAAAUGACGCCCCUGAGACCAAUGUAUCUACUAUGCCAUUUUUUACUAACAAGGGUCGAUUUUUGGCUGGAAAACAUAUAGUGACCUUAGAUCACAAGUCAUGGCUGCAAGCGCAUCGAUAUGUUUUGUUUAAUUAUGAUAACAUAGAUUCAUAUUUGAGCAAGUAUGAUGCCUAUUUAACUUCGAUUGGCCACGGGAAUAACUUAGAGAUUAGUCGCAUUCGCCAUGAGAAAUUUCAUGAGUGGUUUAAGCUCCAUGUGGCACAACUAAUUGCAAAUGGUGAAGAUAUUUCUGAAGAGAUUCAAACUUUAGCUAACGGGCCCUUCUUAGCUGCAAGGAAGUGUAAUAGCUAUACCAUAGAUGGGUACAAUUUCCACACAAAUUCGUAUGAUGACGGUAGACCUACCCAAAGCAGCGGGGUUGCUCUUGUAUCUCAGAUUUUGUCUUCCACAAGUGAAGAUAAUGAAAAUCUUAUGGUCAGCAAUAAAAUAUAUUAUGGUGUGAUAACUGAAAUCCUUGAGUUAAAUUAUAACAACAAAGGAAGUAUUGUGCUUUUCAAAUGUGAUUGGGUUGACAAUAGUGCACAAGACAAGUGGGUUCAAGUCGAUGAUCUUGGUGUCACACGUGUGAACUUCAAGCAUUUACUCAAGUCUGAUGAACCUUUCAUUUUGGCAUCUCAAGCAACCCAAGUGUACUAUGUGCAAGAUAAGCAUGAUAAAGACUGGUAUUCUGUUAGAAGCUUUCCUCAUCCACGAGACCUGUAUGAUAUGUUUGGAGUGGGAGAUGAAGAUUUUGACCACCAUGAUGCACCUACUGUGUCAAUUGCUGAUCUGGAUGCCAAUGUAGAUCUUAGUGUUGAUGUUAGGAAUAUACCUCGUAGUAGGAUGGAUAUAGAUGGAACACUUGUUCCUGCAGUUCAGCAACCAAAGAAAAAAAAUGGAAAAAGGAAGAGACGAAGACAAUGCUGAAGCACGAGAGGAAGAGAGGCUAGCGAAUCUUAAAGCAAGAAACAGUGAGGAUUUUGCACGAUUUGGGUCUUUCAGAUUUGCAGAUGCUAACGAAGUUUCUGGAGGCAAAGCCAGUCAGCGCCAAACUAAAAGAAAGAAGAGCACCGUAGGAAAGCCUACUGUUGAAGUAACUCGAGUUCUUAGGUCCCAAAUGACUAGAGAUGUUGAUGACAUGCCAAGUGAUAACAUUGAAGAGCAGGAAGACCAUGAGUUGGUUCGAGAAACGAAGGGGAAGAAGGGGAAAAAACGCACUAGAAUGCACAAUGUGUAUGAUAGAUUGGGGGCAGUCCCACCAAUUCGUGUGGAGUACAAUGGUGAUGGACAACCAAUUGGGGAAAAUGCAUCAGAGUUUUCAAACUUCAUCUCCACACUUGUGAAAAGUAAAAUAUCUCUUGGGCAUAAUGAUUGGAGAAAGGUUGAUGUUGAGCAGAAAAAAUCAUUUGUGGAUAACCUUAAAGAUGUACUAUGUUGUGGAUGACAAAAUGAAGGAUUGGGUAAUGGGAAGCGCUGCGAAGAAAUGGAGGGAUUUCAAAUCUGAGUUGAAGACUUUGUAUUUUGAUGAGAAGAUGACCGAUGAGGAACUUCAAGUUGUCCCAGAUAACAGAGUUAGCCCAACUGAUUGGAAAGAGCUUGUUGCUUUUUGGAAAACUGAAGCAGGGAAGCGAGCAAGGAAGAAAAAAUCGAAUGGAGAUGGAAUUAUUGCAUACAUCAGGCAGCAAAAGUCAUGCUCGUGUUUCUCAUGAAAUGCAUAAGAAGAAUGGAUAUCCCCCUCAGAGACAUGAACUGUUUAUAGAAACACACACGUGCAAGAAGACUGGUGCCCCUUCAAGUGUGGCUGCAGCAACUAUGUUU